UUCAGGUGAUGCCUCCCACUGAAGAGAACCUGCAGGAGCUGUGUAAGCCAGAACUGCUCCAGAGGCUUCUGAAGGUUGAAAGCCUGCCAAUACUCUGGCUGGUGCUCAGAUGCCUCGUAGUGCUGUCUGAUAGACCUGAGACGGCAAGAGAAAUACGGACCCUGCUUCCAGAAGUCAUGGAGACCCUGCGGUUUGCCAGCACACCCAUUACCCUGAAGGUGCUGAAUAUCUUCAGAAAUGCAAUGUACCAUCUGGGGAAGAGGCACGCCAGUCCCUUUGCUCUGGAGCUAGCUGAGAAGAUCCUGCCUCUUUUUAAUCAUGUGUCAUGUGAAGUGCGAGAAGGUUCCAUCCGCCUCUUCAAGGAUGUGAUGGAUGCUGUGGUGUGGCUUAAGAAGAGAAGCAUGAAGAAGACCGUGCGCAGGGGCCUGCUCCCUCUGCUCUUUCAGAUGAGUGACGAGACCCCGAGUGUAGCACAGGUACGAAUUUCAGACCUGACCAGUGUGCAGGCAGUGGUGUGCUGACAGCUCAGCUGUGAUCUGCAAUUGAGAGCAAGUUGAGCAAGCAUUCAGACACUGGGAUGUGUGUCUGUGUGUGUGGUGCCAUCAGACUGCAUCUGUUGUUCUGUAGGCAUCUUGGCAUGUCCUUGCGUAUUGUGCAACGUUCCUGAAGUGGAAGGAGCUCAAGCACCAGGCCUGGCACAGGGACAUAGCGGGGAUCAUGGAGUGUUUGCUGCAGCAGGACAGAAAGUUAGUGGAAGGAUACCUGUUGCAGAGCCUGCCAUACCUGGAGGAUUCUCAGGCCUCCUUGAGACAUGCGGCUGUCAGAUUCAUUGGGCUGACUGAGAAGUACUCCGGGGAACAGAGUGAGGAGAUGCUGAAUAAACUCUGCAGUGCCCUUCAGCCUUUGGAAAAUGACACCCAUCCGACAGUCCGCUCUGUGGCAUCUGAGACAAUCCAGAAGCUGACACAGCUAAGGCAGAAUGCGGCAUCAUCACAUUGCAGGCUCGCGGCACUUUUCCUGUCCUGCAUAGGCACCUGAAGGAUAGUUCUUGUACAGUAACGUUACUAGGACACUUUUACAGUAACGUUGCAAGGACACGCAUUCCUGUCAUGCAAGACAGACCCCCUGAACAACAGAAGGAGCCUAGGAGCACGGACAUCUCGAAACACAGUACAGGAAACAAGCUGGUUAGAACUGGGUCUGUAGUUAGUGACUGAUUAAGGUGCAAAGCACACCUGAAAGCCUUUACAAGGAAGACCUGGAGAAGACGUCUGCCCGUGACCGUUAGAGAGCAGCACACAUGCACGCAGAUUCAGAACGUAUCACAAUUUCCCUGACUUAAUUGGAACUCGCCGUAUGAGUUCUUGGAACUGUUUAAGCAAGCAGAAAAGUUAUGGUUUUCCUAGCUUUUGCAAAGCUGAAAUGUUGGGCAGCAAAGCUCCUGCUUGCUUAUAGUGCUGUGUGCCUGAGCAUAAGUAAGUGUCACGUGGAAAAAGACAAAAAAACAUAUUUUCUUCACCUACGUCUUGGAGACCCAGGAACCCAGACUUCAAGAUCUUUACUUCUGAGUUUACAUUUCAAAACCGGAUUAGAAAUGAUUCUGCAGACUUUGAUGACAUUUGACUCUUGCAAUAACAACAACACUACUGUUUCUACUACUACUACUAACAGCAACGCAACAACAAAAUAGUGGAAGAUGAAGGAAGGCACAGGGAGAAGAGUCACUUGAGGAAACUUCUCCUAUGAACUGAAUUGGUGUUAGGGUCCCUGUGCGCAAGAACCAAGGACGGAGCAAGCAUGUUUUGUCCUCUUCAGAAUGCAAUAUGGUUCUUCUUAUUGUCAUCAGAAUGAGACCGGGAUUUCACUGGAUUGUUGUGCUAAGCAAACACUUUAGUUUCACAGGUUUGGGACUUGAAGACCUGUCAAAGAACCUUUCAGACCUAAUUUCUAAGUGCAUAAAAACCCACUUGAAUUAGGAUUUAAUUAGGAUUAGGAUUUAUUCUUUCAAAUGGAACUUUACAUAAUGCUGAUUGUUCCUUUGUCUGUGAGGUAGGGAAAGAGGUAUUUCUACCACCAAGCUUAUCUGGCUUUUCUGUUUUGUUUUAUUUCCCGGAAAGGGGCCUGUAAAAUCUGAACCAUCAGUGAUUGCUAUCAGAGAGUAUAACGUGUUUAUAUCAGAGAAAGUGGGAAGUAGGUCAAAAGCAAGUAAUGCACUGUAAUCCCCAUUACAAAUAAUAAUAAGAAAUAGUAGUCAGUGCAACUCCCCAUCUAUAUUUUGCUGUUAAUCAGUGCUAUCCUGUUUGUGUUUUGGGUUUGUAUCUGCCUAAUCAGCUUUUGGUUGCAAGUUAAUAAAUUGUUGACCUGUAGCUAGAUUGAGGACAAAAAGGACUGCGUAUUUUUAACUAACAGAAGGCACAAAAUAUUAAUACUGUCCUUCACUCAGCCUUUCCCAGACAACACUCUUUGAAUGAAGACACACAGAAGAAUUUGUUGUUCAAGUUACAGAUACAUUAAGUUGGGAGGGCUUAAAGAAAGAGACAUCAUAUUUACAUUUUUUCAGCAAUUCUAGAACAUGACGUAAUCCUGUCAAAAUAACAGGAAAAAAAAAAUGAUUUGUGGAAGUGAAAGAAAAAAUUUAUUGUUGUGGAGGUAGUAGAUAAACAGGUUACAAAGGAGAGAUCUGCUGCACCUGUCUAAGACAUAGAGGUUAACCUAUAUUUUCAGUGGUUUCAGGACUUUGUCUCAUAUAUUAAUACUGGCAGAAAUAUAAUUAAAAAAUGGAAGUGGCACAAAGAUUAGUUGACAAACUGUAAUAUAACUCAGAGUCCCCUAUUUUCCCCUACAGAGAAAAAUGAAAGAUUGCCAAGCAAAAAAAUAAAAUA